UACGUAGGGCGCAAGCGUUGUCCGGAAUUAUUGGGCGUAAAGAGCUCGUAGGCGGCUUGUCACGUCGAUUGUGAAAGCCCGAGGCUUAACCUCGGGUCUGCAGUCGAUACGGGCUAGCUAGAGUGUGGUAGGGGAGAUCGGAAUUCCUGGUGUAGCGGUGAAAUGCGCAGAUAUCAGGAGGAACACCGGUGGCGAAGGCGGAUCUCUGGGCCAUUACUGACGCUGAGGAGCGAAAGCGUGGGGAGCGAACAGG
rnacentral:rRNA from 1 species